rnacentral:rRNA from 1 species
UACGGGGGGGGCAAGCGUUGUUCGGAAUUACUGGGCGUAAAGGGCUCGUAGGCGGCCAACUAAGUCAGACGUGAAAUCCCCGGGCUCAACCUGGGAAUGGCAUUGGAUACUGGCUCGCUAGAGUACGGUAGAGGGUGGUGGAAUUCCCGGUGUAGCAGUGAAAUGCGUAGAGAUCGGGAGGAACAUCUGUGGCGAAGGCGGCCACCUGGACCAGUACUGACGCUGAGGCACGAAAGCGUGGGGAGCAAACAGG